CUGAUGGCGACCGGCGCACGGGUGAGUAACACGUAUGCAACCUGCCGUCUACUCUUGGCCAGCCUUCUGAAAGGAAGAUUAAUCCAGGAUGGGAUCAUGAGUUCACAUGUCCGCAUGAUUAAAGGUAUUUUCCGGUAGACGAUGGGGAUGCGUUCCAUUAGAUAGUAGGCGGGGUAACGGCCCACCUAGUCAACGAUGGAUAGGGGUUCUGAGAGGAAGGUCCCCCACAUUGGAACUGAGACACGGUCCAAACUCCUACGGGAGGCAGCAGUGAGGAAUAUUGGUCAAUGGGCGAUGGCCUGAACCAGCCAAGUAGCGUGAAGGAUGACUGCCCUAUGGGUUGUAAACUUCUUUUAUAAAGGAAUAAAGUCGGGUAUGCAUACCCGUUUGCAUGUACUUUAUGAAUAAGGAUCGGCUAACUCCGUGCCAGCAGCCGCGGUAAUACGGAGGAUCCGAGCGUUAUCCGGAUUUAUUGGGUUUAAAGGGAGCGUAGAUGGAUGUUUAAGUCAGUUGUGAAAGUUUGCGGCUCAACCGUAAAAUUGCAGUUGAUACUGGAUGUCUUGAGUGCAGUUGAGGCAGGCGGAAUUCGUGGUGUAGCGGUGAAAUGCUUAGAUAUCACGAAGAACUCCGAUUGCGAAGGCAGCCUGCUAAGCUGCAACUGACAUUGAGGCUCGAAAGUGUGGGUAUCAAACAGGAUUAGAUACCCUGGUAGUCCACACGGUAAACGAUGAAUACUCGCUGUUUGCGAUAUACGGCAAGCGGCCAAGCGAAAGCGUUAAGUAUUC
rnacentral:rRNA from 1 species